UCUUGGAAAUCUUCCAUGUGUGUCAACAGAAGCAUAAUUUUUUCAAAGGGAACUCAGUCUGAGCCAGAGCAAGGGAGGGCUUUGGAAAGUUAGACCCUUAUCAUGUGCUAUUCAACUGCAGCUCUGCAGCAUGUCCUUAAAAAAACAAAUAUGCAAAAAGGAGACCUAGGUCCACUCUCGUGCCUGUUCUGCUGUCUGAGAAGAAUAACACCCUGUGGAGCUGACAGGAUUGUGUUUGAUCUUGGUCAUUGAAAGUGCAGAAGGAUACUGCUUGACAACAAAUUGCUUGGAGCAAAAAAAUGCUUGGAGAAGGUAUCCUAUAAGAUUCAGCACCUUUUCUGUACGAGUCUACUAUAAAGAAGCAUCUGCAUAAAUAAAAAUUUUGCAGAAGGGGAGAGCUGCUUUGGCUGUAUGGUACAUCUUAGGAACUAUGCUGCUGGAAGCAGCAUUUUCCUGGGCUGGGCAUGUGCUCCCGUCUGCUCUCAUCCCCCUGACCUCCAGGGCUAGUCUUUAUCUCAGACUUGGAUGCAGAAGAAUCACACAAUCACAGAAUCCCAGAAAUGCAGGGAUUGGAAGGGACCUCAAGAGAUCAUUGAGUCCGGCUGUAACAGGUUCCCUACAAGAAGCUGCACAGGUAGUUAAGGGUUAUUUCUGGGGAGUUGUUUAUAUGUGGAUUCCUGUCUUCUCUUCAUUCUAUAUCCCUAAGUCCCCAUUAAGAUUUACAAGAACUGAAAUAAAAAUAGGAUUGUCUUUGUAGUGAAGAAAACCAUUUGCAAAUAAAGUUUUCUUUCUAAACUUUUAUUUGAAAGUUCUCAUUUAUGGAGCUGUUGGCAGGAGACAAAGUCUCAAGUUAUGUGCACAAUGAUGGGGCAAACUCUGCUGCUCAAGAAGAUCAAGG
ensembl:lncRNA